rnacentral:rRNA from 1 species
AUUCCAGCUCCAAUAGCGUAUAUUUAAGUUGCUGCAGUUAAAAAGCUCGUAGUUGGAUUUCGGGCGGUUGACGACGGUCCGCCUCUGGUGUGCACUGCCGUUCUUCCGCCUUUCUGUCGGGGACGUGCUCCUAGGCUUCAUUGUCUGGGACACGGGUUCGACGUGGUUACUUUGAGUAAAUUAGAGUGUUCAAAGCAGGCAUCGCCUUGAAUAUAUUAGCAUGGAAUAGCACGAUAGGGCUCUGGCCUAUUUUGCUGGUCUGUAGGACCGGAGUAAUGAUUAAGAGGGACAGUCGGGGGCAUUCGUAUUUCAUUGUCAGAGGUGAAAUUCUUGGAUUUAUGAAAGACGAACUUCUGCGAAAGCAUUUGCCAAGGAUGUUUUCAUUA